CUCAAAAGUGACUGAUUUGCCUAUUUGUGCUGAUGCAGACUCCUCAGUUUGUUUCUUCGAUUUCCCUAUUUUUGCCGAUUCAGAAUUUAACUCCAACACUCAGCUGGGAAUGAGCACAGACCCAGGCGAUGUCCUGUCAGGAUGGAGUCUGAUGUCUUGUCAGAUCAUGUAAUGUAGCUGCCGGAAUUGAGCCCGAGCCAGAAAAACAUCCUGGCAACUUGGAAGACCAAAUGAUUGGCAAGAAGGCUCAAGAAAUCCUACGGGCAGAAG